GACGUAGGGGGCGAGCGUUGUCCGGAAUUAUUGGGCGUAAAGCGCGUGUAGGCGGUCCGGUAAGUCCGCUGUGAAAGUCGGGGGCUCAACCCUCGAAUGCCGGUGGAUACUGUCGGGCUAGAGUGCGGAAGAGGCGAGUGGAAUUCCUGGUGUAGCGGUGAAAUGCGCAGAUAUCAGGAGGAACACCAAUAGCGAAGGCAGCUCGCUGGGACGGUACUGACGCUAAGGCGCGAAAGCGUGGGGAGCGAACAGG
rnacentral:rRNA from 1 species